UUAAAUUGAACUAAACUGAACUUUAAAAUUCUGGUUUUUCCUUUUAUUUAUUUAUUUUUUAAGAUGGAGUCUCCCUCUGUCACCCAGGCUGGAAUGCAGUGGUGCAAUCUCAGCUCAUUGCAACCUCCACCUCCCGAGUUCAAGCAAUUCUCUUGCCUCAGACUGCUGAGUAGCUGAGAUUACAGGCAUGCGCCAGGACACCUGGCUACCUUUUUUUUUUUUUUUUUAAGUAGAGAUUGGGUUUCACCAGUUGGUGAGGCUGGUCUUGGACUCCUGACUUCAAGUGAUCCACCCACCUCAGCCUCCCAAAGUGCUAGGAUUACAGGCACGAGCCACUGAACCAGGCCAAAAUUCUGUAUUUUCAGUUAGAGUCAAAGCCCAAGGAGGCCUCUGCCAUCUUGUAGCCCUUGCCAAUAUCCUACUCUUGUCUUCCAGGGUUCCUCCAAAUCUCUCUCCAACUAUUUGUUAUCUACUCAUUCAACACCCUUCUUCAACCAUCCUCUUGCUUUGGAAUUGAUGUGAACCAACUAGGCCCACCUUAUUAGUAGGAAUUCAUUUGCCCUGCCUGCCAGCCCCCAUAGAGACAGAACCAUUACCUACUGAAAGAAGAUUUUAAUGACGUGAUGAAAAUAUUUUAGAAAGCACCUUGAAGAAUAGUAUCUUUAUGUAACCACUGUUGGAGAGAUGUCUUCAGGAGACUGAAGUAGAAGAGUUACUGUCAAUAUGGAAAGUCCCAGAGACAUCCAAUUUAUGUAAAUCGACAUCACUUGAAUUCAGAAUCUCAUCCAGAUUUCAACAAAGACUUAUGAAUGCCAACAAAGAAGGGGACUGAAUUUACAGACUCUAACGCUAAAAACCUAUGCUAUUCAAUUUGAAAACAGAAUAAAAUUAUUUUGGCAGAAA